CCUACGGGUGGCAGCAGUGGGGAAUUUUGCGCAAUGCUCGUAAGAGUGACGCAGCGACGCCGCGUGGGUGAAGGAGUGCUUCGGCAUGUAAAGCCCUAUCGGCAGGGAAGAAGCAAGACGGUACCUGACUAAGAAGCCCCGGCUAACUACGUGCCAGCAGCCGCGGUAAUACGUAGGGGGCGAGCGUUAUCCGGAUUCACUGGGUGUAAAGGGAGCGUAGACGGCCAAGCAAGCCAGGGGUGAAAGCCCGGGGCCCAACCCCGGGACUGCCCGUGGAACUGCAUGGCUGGAGUGCGGGAGGGGCAGGCGGAAUUCCUGGUGUAGCGGUGAAAUGCGUAGAUAUCAGGAGGAACACCGGCGGCGAAGGCGGCCUGCUGGACCGCGACUGACGUUGAGGCUCGAAAGCGUGGGGAGCGAACAGGAUUAGAUACCCUUGUAGUC
rnacentral:rRNA from 1 species